UUAUUUAUUUUUUUUUGGAAAAGGUAAACGACAAAGCUAUUGCUAUUACAAAAGUUAGAAAAUAGACACCCUUUAGUAGCUAUGUUCCAAAUCCCAUGAUGAUGGUUGAAGGCUGUGGGUAGAACGCAACGUCCAACAAGAACCACACCGAAACAACUCCUCCACUGAAAAGACAGGAGGCCACUACACCUGACGGCUCUGUUAACUCAAAGAAACCCAUUGUAAUCCAUGACAAAGCUUCUGAACUUGGGAAUUCAAGCAGCCAAGGUACAAAUAUUGAUGAGAAUAAGGCGAUGAGGCACAAAUCAUUGUUUAAGUGGCCUACAACAAAUCAAAUUCAGAGUGAGUUUAAGAAUAAUAUAGAGGAAAGUGUUUGGGACCGCCUAACGGAACUCACCAAGGAUGAUUUAAGCAUAGAACAUGGCUUAGAGAUGGUUGAUUCAGUGUAUCUCCUAAAUCUAUUCAAUACUUCAGAUCCUGAGUUUGAAAGUUUUAUCCAGACUGCUGGUGCUGGAGAAAAGCGGAUGCGUGGAGGUUUGAAGCUGGUUGAAGAAGGGUAUCACAUGAUCAAAUCUGCGGUAUCACUAAAGCGGGGCAGCUGGGUUAAACCUGAGUGAUCAAUUCUAGAUUUCCUCAAUCUAACAAUUGUACCCAGCUUCCAAUUUAUAUUUAAUGUGGUAUUGUUUCUGAAGGUGUUUAACAAAUUAAAUAAGUACUACUGGAAAUAUUAUUGCACGGCGAAA